rnacentral:rRNA from 1 species
GACGAACGCUGGCGGCGUGCUUAACACAUGCAAGUCGAACGGAAAGGCCCUGCUUUUGUGGGGUGCUCGAGUGGCGAACGGGUGAGUAACACGUGAGUAACCUGCCCUUGACUUUGGGAUAACUUCAGGAAACUGGGGCUAAUACCGGAUAGGAGCUCCUGCUGCAUGGUGGGGGUUGGAAAGUUUCGGCGGUUGGGGAUGGACUCGCGGCUUAUCAGCUUGUUGGUGGGGUAGUGGCUUACCAAGGCUUUGACGGGUAGCCGGCCUGAGAGGGUGACCGGCCACAUUGGGAAGGAGAGACGGCCCAGACUCCUACGGGAGGCAGCAGUGGGGAAUAUUGCACAAUGGGCGGAAGCCUGAUGCAGCAACGCCGCGUGCGGGAUGACGGCCUUCGGGUUGUAAACCGCUUUCGCCUGUGACGAAGCGUGAGUGACGGUAAUGGGUAAAGAAGCACCGGCUAACUACGUG